rnacentral:lncRNA from 1 species
AUGUUCUCUAGGCCUUCAGAAAGCACAGGGCUGUUCCUUUGGCCACAUUUAUAGGAAUCUCUGUGCAGGGCAAUAUUGUAGGCAUCAAAGGUGCUGUUCAAAAAGGAAUACUGCAUAGAUACUAGCAUGGCUGAGCAAGAAGAAUCUGCGGUGUUACCCAGCAUGCUGCUGGCACUGCUGGAAACAAGCAAGUGAAGAGUGAGAUUCUGAAGUGCCCGCCUGCUCCAUCUGAGAAGCUUGCUUUGUGGAAACAAAAAGCGCCUGAGCUCCUGGAGCCCAUCCCCUGGGAAUCCAUG